rnacentral:rRNA from 1 species
UACGUAGGGUGCGAGCGUUGUCCGGAAUCACUGGGCGUAAAGCGCACGUAGGCGGGUCUUUAAGUCGGAGGUGAAAUCCUGGAGCUCAACUCCAGAACUGCCUUCGAUACUGAGGAUCUCGAGUCCGGGAGAGGUGAGUGGAACUGCGAGUGUAGAGGUGAAAUUCGUAGAUAUUCGCAAGAACACCAGUGGCGAAGGCGGCUCACUGGCCCGGUACUGACGCUGAGGUGCGAAAGCGUGGGGGAGCAAACA